rnacentral:tRNA from 1 species
GCUUGAUUAGCUCAGCGGAACGAGCGCCCCGCCCACACCGGGGAGGCCGGAGGUUCGACUCCUCCAUCAGGCAC